GUAUAAUGGGUCAGCGACUUAUAUUCUGUAGCAAGGUUAACCGUAUAGGGGAGCCGAAGGGAAACCGAGUCUUAACUGGGCGUUAAGUUGCAGGGUAUAGACCCGAAACCCGGUGAUCUAGCCAUGGGCAGGUUGAAGGUUGGGUAACACUAACUGGAGGACCGAACCGACUAAUGUUGAAAAAUUAGCGGAUGACUUGUGGCUGGGGGUGAAAGGCCAAUCAAACCGGGAGAUAGCUGGUUCUCCCCGAAAGCUAUUUAGGUAGCGCCUCGUGAACUCAUCUUCGGGGGUAGAGCACUGUUUCGGCUAGGGGGCCAUCCCGGCUUACCAACCCGAUGCAAACUACGAAUACCGAAGAAUGUUAUCACGGGAGACACACGGCGGGUGCUAACGUCCGUCGUGAAGAGGGAAACAACCCAGACCGCCAGCUAAGGUCCCAAAGUCAUGGUUAAGUGGGAAACGAUGUGGGAAGGCCCAGACAGCCAGGAUGUUGGCUUAGAAGCAGCCAUCAUUUAAAGAAAGCGUAAUAGCUCACUGGUCGAGUCGGCCUGCGCGGAAGAUGUAACGGGGCUAAACCAUGCAC
rnacentral:rRNA from 1 species